AAAAUCAAAUUUUGUCAUAAUUAGACCGUGGCUAACAAUUUACUUUCCCUCUUCACCGUUUCAUUGAGGGCACCUAGUUUUUUUCCAUUCCCUCCUAUAUUUUUUUUUUUCUAUUUCCUUUUUUAUUUCAUUUCCUUUCACAUUUUCCCAUUCCUUUUUUAAAUUCUCUGCUCACCUUCAAUUCCCUUUCUCUUCUCUGCUCACCAUCAGUUUCUUUUUCCAUGACACACAAAUAUGUGAAAUUGCCAUUGGAAAGAACAUCACCGGAAAGAACGUCACCGGUAAUGGAUCGGCAAGGUUUCACGCAGCCCAGUCACUGACAUCGGACAUCUCAUGACUAGCCACAACUACUCACUACUCAAAUAACAUGACGCGACCCAUCCAUUGCCAAGAACUCUCGAGCUGCUCUCUUUCAUUCUCUCUGACACGACAGUUCGGAAGCUUCACACCCUUGUUUGGAGACACCAAAAUUCAAAAAUGAUGUUAUUGGAAAAGUGUACAGAGCUGAGCAUUCAGGUCGAGUGCGUGGUUUAGGAGUUCGUGUAUCCCCCACGAGAGUUGAUCAUAACAUUUGGGCCAUAACUUGAGCUUUGGAUAUCGAAUUGACGCAUGCGAGCAGGCAUUGGAAAGCUAAAUAUCAUAGCAAAAAAUUUUAUGUUGGAAUAAAAGCUCAAUUCCGAACUUUACUGGGCUUAAAUUGCAAAUUUUGUAAUCUGGACUUUUGUAAUAACUUUAAAUAGUGAGCCACUUGUUUUUAAAGUCCAAAAUCGAGUACUAUAUAUUGGGAGUUUCUUUCCUUCCUUAGACAUUGUAUUUUCGGAUUCAGAAAACAUAUAAACAUUUUUUACUUUAAUUUGAA